UACGUAGGGUGCAAGCGUUGUCCGGAAUUAUUGGGCGUAAAGAGCUCGUAGGCGGUCAGUCGCGUCUGCUGUGAAAACUCGGGGCUUAACUCCGGGCCUGCAGUGGGUACGGGCUGACUAGAGUGCGGUAGGGGGAGACUGGAAUUCCUGGUGUAGCGGUGAAAUGCGCAGAUAUCAGGAGGAACACCGGUGGCGAAGGCGGGUCUCUGGGCCAUUACUGACACUGAGAAGCGAAAGCAUGGGGAGCGAACAGG
rnacentral:rRNA from 1 species